GGACUACCCGGGUAUCUAAUCCUGUUUGCUCCCCACGCUUUCGCGCCUCAGUGUCAGGAAUCUCCCAGAAGGGCGCCUUCGCCGCCGGCCUUCCCCCGAAUAUCUGCGCAUUUCACCGCUACACUCGGAGUUCCCCCUUCCCCUGAGAUCCUCAAGCCACGCAGUAUAAGGCGCAAUUCCCCGGGUAAGCCGAGGGCUUUCACACCUUACUUACGCAGCCACCUACGCGCCCUUUAAGCCCAGUGACACCGAACAACGUUCGCCCCUCACGUAUUACCGCGGCUGCUGGCAC
rnacentral:rRNA from 2 species